rnacentral:rRNA from 1 species
AGGUGGUGCAUGGUUGUCGUCAGCGUCGUGUCGUGAGAUGUUGGGUUAAGUCCCGCAACGAGCGCAACCCUUGUGUUUAGUUGCAAACAGGUCAAGCUGUGCACUCUAGACAGACUGCCGUGGACAACACGGAGGAAGGUGGGGAUGACGUCAAAUCAUCAUGCCCCUUAUGAUCUGGGCUACACACGUGCUACAAUGGCCGGUACAACGGGCAGCGAAGGAGCGAUCCGGAGCGAAUCCUAAAAAGCCGGUCCCAGUUCGGAUUGCAGGCUGAAACUCGCCUACAUGAAGUUGGAGUUGCUAGUAAUCGCGAAUCAGAAUGUCGCGGUGAAUGCGUUCCCGGGUCUU